CAUGCUCUCACUUCACUCUGAGCUCUCCAUUGCACUGCAGAGGGGACAGAUGUGGGGCUGAAGACUGGGGAGGGAGACACCACCAGAGGAGAUCCCUGGGAGUCACUUCUCUGACCUUCCCUUUCCCUCACUCUCUCCGUCUCUCUCUCUCUCAUCUCGCUGUCACUUUCUCCUCUGUUGCCAAUGUGUUGCGUGUCCUCCUCUUUCCCUCCUCAUCCUUGCGCUCGUUAAGCGUCUCCGCGCUGCUUUGACGGUGGCUGCAUCGAUGCAAAAUGGGUUGUGGCAAUUCCUCAGCCACCACCACCUCAGGAGGCGGUCCAGCAGAAGCCUCCAAAGAUGUAAGAACCCUUGGUAGACGAUGAGAAAAGAAGGAACUAUGGCGGUGUAUAUGUAGGUCUACCAGCAGACCUGACCACUGUGGUGGCCAGUCAGUCCAAGUCUACACAUAAAGACUAGCAACAACCACUGAGGGGAACGCAACACAGGAUCGUGCAUAUUCACACGCCCGUAGAGACACUCUCAUUAUGAGCAGAGAGCGUGUACGUGCUCUGAUUUAGUGCUCGCCACACACUGAACCGAGACUUUUAAAAUUGAGAGAAGAUGUGGACAGCUUGCCGGGUCUUGGAGAACGCCGCCUCACGGAGUCACGGGCGGCUCAGCGACGCGGGGAUGCACAGCGGAGGUCUGCGUGCGGCGUCCGUCACCACCCUUCACUCAAAGUGCGGAAGAGGCGCCGCGUGUGCACCCUCCCUGGGACUGGCAGCUGUGGGCGGCGGGGGCGGGCAUCAUGACAGCCAUCUUGGCUCCUUGGUGACAUCACCGGAACAAUCUUUUUUUCUCAGGAGGAGACAGAGGAUCCGGCCAACUUACCAACUGACUGUGCGGGACACACACAGACACACACACACAGACACUCCCAAUAGCCCUCUGCAAUAAUAAUCACAGCUCAGUCAUUGCUCUAAAAUGCCAUCAAUGAUUGAUUGUGCGGUGGAGGCAGAGCGUUAGAGAGAGAGACGGAGAUAAAUCAGAGUUUUUACACAAAGCAGCAAACACAUUCCAGUUAAUGCACGACAGAGGAUUAUUGAAAAUAGGGAUGAUUGCAAUCAGGGAGCUGCAACAGAAAACAUCUGACAACAUGACACUGAUUUUAACAAUGACUGUGAGGAGUUUAGUCGAGGACAUUUCAACUGACGCCGUCCUGAGUGCUCUGACCAGGUAUUACCUGGUGUCGGCAUGUUAACUCGUGGCCCAGACCGAUUAUGUAACAUCCGCAUAUGAGUCAUGAUACCUACCGGAGCUCUUGCUGCUUCUGCUUUCUCUCUCAUGUUUUAUUCCCUGAACAGCUCUGAUUAUUGUGCUUCUGGGUUAUUCACAGAGCCCAUACAAUGUCUCUCAAAGUUUCCAGAAGCAGAAUGGUCACUUCAACUAAGAAGAAGUGAAGUUUUUAGUUUUUUUUGUUUUUUUUUUGUAGCGACUGCAUUGAUUUCAUUACGCAGGUUUGUACAUUGUGUGUGUAACGUGGAUGCGAACGUUGUCCUUCUUCAUUCUAAAUGAAAAUGCCUCAUUUUAUUGAGUUUUUUUCUCACUGUUAACAGACCCCAUUAAAUACACAAAAACCAACAGAUUUUCAGUUACAAAACAAGUCCUUGUCACGGGGGCAGCUGAACGCUCCCCCAUGAGCUUCAGAGCACUUAAGUAGAAAAUUUUGUUUGUUGGAUAAGAUGCAGCGUUUCCUAUAAAUCUACUUUUUUUCAACAAAAACGACCGGGCUUGAGAGGAAUUUUGUUUCAAGACUCUUGGUCGAUGCCGAAGACGUGCAUAUUUCCAGCAAAAAAAUAAAUACGCAGCUCCUUAAAAGCCUCAGCAAUUUUCUAAAACAGCUGGGAUCUGCAGGAGUUCGCAAAUGUGACCUAAACUGGAGUAAACAGAGCGUUUAUUUGGGACUAUUUUCAGCUGUUGACCAAUACAUGUUCGGUGCUUUAUUGAAUAUUGACAGCGGGAGGAUGGUUGAUGUGGACUGAUUCAAAAUAAACUACAGUGCCUGAAUGUGCACAAUGCAGCGAGGGAACAUGUCACCCAGUGCAGCUUUCGCAUUUCAUUUGAUUUUGAUGGUAGAGGGUAAUAAAUGAAAUCACUCUGUGGCUACGCUGGACAACGGUUUAUUAGGUUUAGCUCACUGUUGGUUUUGGUCUAUUUGUGGGGCUUAUUGGCAUUAAGGAAAAUACAGGACCUCACCAGACACCAGAAAAGAAAACCCAUUACAGCAUUAGGGGCCAAGGUCAUUUGUCAGCCAGACUCUUGGCAGUUCUCUCCGCUAAUGAAUGUACAGCAUCUUCCACUCGCCGCCACCGUGGAGGAGAGUGGAAAUAGGCCAACAUUAAACACUUGAGAUUCAAGAGAUGCUCUGCCCGCGCUGCACAAAACUCUUUGUAUGCCUCUGCGUGCAGCUCUGACUGCCUCGACUGACCGGUCUCUUAAAAACAGGAACUUAAUUCAUCACGCCUGAACACAAGCGCACUGUCUGUCUGUUUCCCUGGCGUGCACCUCGCAACGACCCCCCCGCUCGCUCGCUCGCUUGCUACGGAGCUGCGUCGCCGGCUAUCAGUCACGCUUAUACCAAGGGAUUUCGUGUAGUGUCUUUUAAUUGCAAGCCGUUUGUCAGCUCACACUGUUGCAGCGUUUAUGCUGCAGACACAAUGAGCUGCUUUAUGUACUGUGUAGUUUUACAGCUGAUUAUGGACGGAGCCAUCACAGCGAUGAUUUGAGCAGGACCCCACCCGGAACGUCGUAAAUUUCCAUCCCAGGGACCUUUGGCUUUUUCCAGCGUGUUGCAAUGCCUGUCUCUCCCUCUUUUUGUCAGCCCCUCUUUGCUGUUUGUGGCAAACAUGAAAUGAAGAAUGUCACUGCCUUUGCCCUAUUCCGUGAGUUUAACCAGGGCAAGAGGGCAGAAUGUGGAUGAAUAAAGCCGCCCGAUGUCCUCUACAUUAAAAUACUGCUGUAGCUGCAGCAGCUCAGCGUGUUGUUUGAAUGUAGUGGUGGUGGUGGGCGCGCUUGAAGAACUAACACGCACUGUAAAGGCGUAGUUUACCAUUUUGAAUAUGAUUAUUUGCCUUCUUGUAGAGAUCAGAAGUGUAAUAACUCUUUCAUGUCCUUCUUGUGCUAAGCUAAGCCAUCUGCCGGCAGCCUUUCUGCCUAGCUUUGCAUAAAGACUGGAAACAACUGGUCUGGCUCUGUUGAAAGCCACCAACGCCUCUGAAGAUCAACGCAAAUUAUGAAAACCACUUGAAGUCAAAGCAGCUGAGAAUUAAUUAUUGGUAAUUAUUUAUUCUGGUCAUCAACAAAAACACCAGUGUGUUUCUCUGCUCUUGACCGCUAAUCAUGAAAUUGUUCUGAUUAAAGAGGCAUUUACUGAGGUGAGCCAGUGCUUCACGCUGAAAAUCACACAUAAAUCAUAAAUAAAUCACACAUUUGCUGCCAAUCAUAUGUGCUGAGAGGACACUCGCCGAAUUCAUCAAUGUUACUUGAGGAGAAGCAGAAAACAUCCACCUGAUUCAAUUAUUUAUGAUUAAAGACUUUUAUAUCGUC